GACGAACGCUGGCGGCGUGCUUAACACAUGCAAGUCGAACGGAAAGGCCCUGCUUUUGUGGGGUGCUCGAGUGGCGAACGGGUGAGUAACACGUGAGUAACCUGCCCUUGACUUUGGGAUAACUUCAGGAAACUGGGGCUAAUACCGGAUAGGAGCUCCUGCUGCAUGGUGGGGGUUGGAAAGUUUCGGCGGUUGGGGAUGGACUCGCGGCUUAUCAGCUUGUUGGUGGGGUAGUGGCUUACCAAGGCUUUGACGGGUAGCCGGCCUGAGAGGGUGACCGGCCACCUUGGGCCUGAGAUACGGACCAGACUCCUACGGGCGGCAGCAGGGGGGAAUAUUGCGCAGUGGGCGGAAGCCUGAUGCAGCAACCCCGCGUGCGGGAUGACGGCCUUCGGGUUGUAACCCGCUUUCGCCUGGAACGAAGCGUGAGUGACGGUAAUGGGUAAAGAAGCCCCGGCUAACUACGUG
rnacentral:rRNA from 1 species